GUAAACAGAGGCUGUGGAAGCCAAGGUAAACAUAAGAAAGGAAAACUUUUGUACGGUGAACUUGGGCUAAAAAGAAGAAUGAUGUCUCUGGAACUUUUGCUGCUUAUAGGAAUGAGAGCAAAAUCCUGGCAUGACCAUGAUCCUUCAAUGAGCACCACUGUGUUGCUGCAUUCUGUCUGGCCAAUCUAGUCUAUAAUAGUUUUUUGUUUUGUUUUGAUUUUUGUGUGUUUUUUUGUUUGUUUGUUUGUUUUGAUGGAGUUUUGCUCUUAUUGCCCAGGCUGGAGUGCAAUGGCAUGAUCUCAGCUCACUGCAACCUCCUCAUCCCAGGUUCAAGCGAUUCUCCUGCCUCAGACUCCUAAAUACCUAGGAUUACAGGCACCUGCC
rnacentral:lncRNA from 1 species